UAAACAAUAAAGACAUAAAAAAUUACAUAUCACUCUUAUCGUCUACUGAUAUGACCAAAAUUUGAUGUUAGAUACGAGACCACGCCGGAUCUCGAUCCGAUGUAACACAUAAGACAUAAGAUCCAUUUUUCGUUGACGUGAAAGCCACGUUUUAGUGGACAAAAAAAUAGUUUGAUUAAAAAAAAUAGUUUGAUUAAAAAAAAUAGUUAAAAUAGAAAGAGAAGUUAAACAUAAAGAAAAGCUUAAUGGAUGACUAAAAAAGCAACAUCGAUUCUCACUCGACCGAUCACGCAGUACUGGUUUUCUAGACUCUACCAUAUAAUAAAGAAGGAAGCUAAGACUGUAAGAGCAGUUUCAUCGUUGUUAAGAUCCUUUCGGGCUAUUCAUUAUUUAAUUCAUCCAAUAAACAAUAAUGAUUUUUAAUGAACAGUAAUUAUCUUUUGCAUUUCCAUCCUUAUAUUGAAUAACCCUGAUAAUAGAUAAUAAAAUAUUAGUAUUUUUUUAAAAUAAUACAAAAUAAUUUUAUUUGUAAUUUCAGAUAAGAUUUUUAAUCCAUCUCAUUGUAGUACUUUCUAUUAAUUUUUUUUUUCUUUUCUUUUCACAUGGUGCAGCACACCAUUCCAAAACUUUCGUUUUUUUCUUCACAUGGUGCCGAUGCACCAUUUCAAAACCUUUUUUUUAUUAUUUUUUCUUCUUCUUUUCACAUGAUGCCAACGCACCAUUCCAAAAGUUAUGUGUUCUUUUUUUCUUUCUUUUUCAGUUGCUCUGCUCUCUCUCACUUUUAGCUCCAGCGGCAGGGCCUUAAAUUCACAGUUUUUCCUUAGUUAAAAUCUCUCUCUCUCUCUCCACACCCCCCCCCAAAAAAAAAAAAAUCCCAAAUCGUGUGAGGUGAAUGCGGUGUGGGGUGCGGCGACAACUGCCGUGGAGGAGGGACUGGAUCUCUUUCAUUUAUCUGUGGGUGUAUCAUCAGUCUCGGCGUGAGCGGUUGAGUUCCAAGCCAGAGUUUUACAUUUUUUUAAAUUUUUUAUUAAUAUUAUAUAUUUUUAUUAAUUUUAUAUUAUGACUGAUGUCGUCUUGACGUCAGCCCACGUCACAAGGCCGUCGGGCUCUCGGGCAGGCAAUCCCUACCGAACAUGUCCCUUGAGCUGGCAUACGCUGGACCUUAUCCGCCGGCCUAUUUGACUCUAUUCCAUCCCUAGUCCACCGGGUAAUACACCACGGUGGAACUGCUCUAAGACGUGGAUGUGUUGUUUAGCUGCCACGACUCUCGUGACUCUGCGACACACUCUACAAAACAAAACGUCUACUCAACUUCUCUCUCUCUUCACUCUCUCUCUCUCUUUGGAUUUUGGAUGAGUGCUAAUCCUCCCGACUGCUCAAGGCAAAGAAAUUUUUCGUUAUGUUAAGGCAUGCUUCGUUGGUCAGGCUAAGAAGUUGACAGCAAGGAAUGAGCAGGAAGCAACAGAAGCCGAGCUUCAGACAGCCAAAAUCCAAGUUGAAGCAGCUGAUACCGCUGAGGAUACCAAAAACAGACUCCACAUGUAAUGUAAUUGCUCUAACAGUUCCACCUUUUUUUCUUUUGUUAUAAUUAAGCAGAAUAUUUUGCAAUUUAAAAUUUUGAAUUGAUUUAUAUUGUUUGAUUUCUGAA